rnacentral:rRNA from 1 species
UACGUAGGUGGCAAGCGUUGUCCGGAUUUACUGGGUAUAAAGGGAGCGCAGGCGGGACAGCAAGUCAGCGGUGAAAUGUAUGGGCUUAACCCAUGAACUGCCGUUGAAACUGUUGUUCUCGAGUGAAGUAGAGGCAAGCGGAAUCCCGAGUGUAGCGGUGAAAUGCGUAGAUAUUCGGAGGAACACCAGUGGCGAAGGCGGCUUGCUGGGCUUUAACUGACGCUGAGGCUCGAAAGUGAGGGGAGCAAAC